UAUCUCUCCAUUUUACCAUUAUGAAAUCUAUAAUUAAAAAAAAAAAAAAAAUUUAGAUGCCUUCUCCAUUUGAGGGAAAAAGGGUGCUUUUUAUUGUAUAAAGCAGUGUCUUAUGUAUUUUGAUAUACCAUUGUUUGAACUUCUGUCUUUAGCUGACAGAUUCUCAAAUAUCCUUGAUUUUGGAUGUUCAGUAGAUUUGUGAGAGGGGUUUCUGGGAAGACUCUCUUUUUGCCCUAGCAAAAAAGCAAAAUCAAUGUUUGGGUGACUGUGUAAAGCCCAAUGUAUAAGAACAUCUUUUCGUCCAGGUUUUAUUUCUGCUUUUUAUUGAAGACAAACACGCACCAAAAAGCAAAACAAAAGUUUUGUGAGAAACUAAUUUUCUUUGGCAAGAGUAUUGCUUAAUAUUUUGGCCUCUGAAAGUUACCCAGGCUGGUACUUGGACUCCUGUGCUAAUUGUUCAGCUUACAUAUCAUUCUAUAGAGACUGUUUAUUCUGUACCAAGCUGAUUUCAAAGUGCUGCACUGAAAAUAAACUGGUUACUGUUUUUCUUCAUAAAGUUCUGCAUUUGGCAUCUUCACUCUUUCCAAAACGUAUCUGUACAUCAGAAAUGUCACUAUUCCAAGUGUCUUUUUAGUGUGGCUUUAGUAUGGCUUCUUUUUAAUAUUGUACAUACAUUGUAUCUUUGUUUUAUGGUAAUAAAUAAUAAAAAUGUAGACUU